rnacentral:lncRNA from 1 species
AUUAGUACUUUGUGGGCAGCCUCAAUUCAAACAGAUAACCGCCUCUUGACGUCUUCUGAUUUCUACCAUAAAUGGACUAAUUUGUUGCUAAGGUAGCAGCAACCAUUUCUAAUGAAGGGCAUUGUUUAUUUCAUGACGUGCUUGAACUGGGGUGUCCUUCCGUGCACUUUACGCCCAAUAGUGUCCAAUAUAUGCUCGAUAUGGUUCAAAUCCGGGCUUCGAUCGGGCCAAGAAAGAUGAACCGAAUUCAAUUGGAACAAUGGAUCUUCCUCCACGAUGCUAAUUUCCAACUUUGGCGAGCUCCGCACUAUAUUGGAUACGGACAACUGUGUGUCUGUUCGUAAGUAAUGGUUCCCGAAAUGGUCUGCUCGCACGAUAACCAGUAACGAUGAGUAGAUCUCGAACAGUUCUUGUUAAAAGCUUAUGUAUGCCCACCACUCUCUUCUUAUGAUUGUAUUGUAUACAAUGGCUUUUCUUCUGACCAACCUUCAUUAUGCUUGAUUUUCCCUAGCAGAUGGUAUAGGGG